GGAGUCUGAAAACUGACAGUUGCUUUAAUGUGAGCUGCAUCAGGCAAGAUCCAGUUUUUUGAGAUCAUCUGACCCAGAAAUUUGAGAGAUGUCUCGUUGAAUGUGCUUCACUUUUUAAAAAUAUAUAUUUUAAGACUUUUACUCAAGUAAUAUUCUAAACAGUGACUUCAACUUCUACCAUUUUCUGAAAUCUGACGGUGUGGAGGUUAAUCCAUAUGGUACACGACACCCAAAAGAGAAAAUUAUGCAAAAUGAAGACAGGUCACGAUUGAUGCUAGGCAAAUGCUCAAUCUUUGAUCAGCUCCUCCCACACAUCAAUCAUAUCAUCGGUGAAGCUCCUCCCACAGCCAUUCACCAAUAAAUGCUGGAAUAUUCCCAUCAGUUUACAAGUGAAGACGAGCAUCAAAGCAUCAGGAAGAGCUGAAAUCUUUUAUGAGUUUAUGAAAGAGGACAGAGAGAAGACGAGAGAUCCAGAACCCUGCAGAAUCAAACACACUCAAGAUACGGAAGGUAAACAGGUUGGUGUUUAUUUUCGAUUUCUCAUUCAUUCAUGAUGGUGAAGAACAUUCAUGUUAUAAAGAUUCAAGCACUUCAUCAGAUUUAGAUGAACAGAAAUGGGACUUUUGUUGUUUUUAUCAAUAAACCAUAGAAUAUACAUGAACUUUCCA
ensembl:lncRNA